rnacentral:miRNA from 1 species
GACUUCGCUGAACACAAAUAUUAGUGAUUCAAAACAGUAAAACAUAUCACAGUGAUGAUAUUGUCAGUGAAAGUUACUUUUUGUGCAUUUUUCACACACAAACAGCACUUUUACUGAUGAUAUAAUUGUUGUGAUACGUUUUCCAGUUUUUUAAACACUAAUAUUUGUGUUCAGCGAUGUC